GACGAACGCUGGCGGCGUGCCUAAUACAUGCAAGUAGAACGCUGAAGAGAGGAGCUUGCUCUUCUUGGAUGAGUUGCGAACGGGUGAGUAACGCGUAGGUAACCUGCCUUGUAGCGGGGGAUAACUAUUGGAAACGAUAGCUAAUACCGCAUAACAAUGGAUGACACAUGUCAUUUAUUUGAAAGGGGCAAUUGCUCCACUACAAGAUGGACCUGCGUUGUAUUAGCUAGUAGGUGAGGUAAUGGCUCACCUAGGCGACGAUACGUAGCCGACCUGAGAGGGUGAUCGGCCACACUGGGACUGAGACACGGCCCAGACUCCUACGGGGGGCAGCAGUAGGGAAUCUUCGGCAAUGGGGGCAACCCUGACCGAGCAACGCCGCGUGAGUGAAGAAGGUUUUCGGAUCGUAAAGCUCUGUUGUAAGUCAAGAACGGGUGUGAGAGUGGAAAGUUCACACUGUGACGGUAGCUUACCAGAAAGGGACGGCUAACUACGUGCCAGCAGCCGCGGUAAUACGUAGGUCCCGAGCGUUGUCCGGAUUUAUUGGGCGUAAAGCGAGCGCAGGCGGUUUGAUAAGUCUGAAGUUAAAGGCUGUGGCUCAACCAUAGUUCGCUUUGGAAACUGUCAAACUUGAGUGCAGAAGGGGAGAGUGGAAUUCCAUGUGUAGCGGUGAAAUGCGUAGAUAUAUGGAGGAACACCGGUGGCGAAAGCGGCUCUCUGGUCUGUAACUGACGCUGAGGCUCGAAAGCGUGGGGAGCGAACAGGAUUAGAUACCCUGGUAGUCCACGCCGUAAACGAUGAGUGCUAGGUGUUGGAUCCUUUCCGGGAUUCAGUGCCGCAGCUAACGCAUUAAGCACUCCGCCUGGGGAGUACGACCGCAAGGUUGAAACUCAAAGGAAUUGACGGGGGCCCGCACAAGCGGUGGAGCAUGUGGUUUAAUUCGAAGCAACGCGAAGAACCUUACCAGGUCUUGACAUCCCGAUGCUAUUUCUAGAGAUAGAAAGUUACUUCGGUACAUCGGUGACAGGUGGUGCAUGGUUGUCGUCAGCUCGUGUCGUGAGAUGUUGGGUUAAGUCCCGCAACGAGCGCAACCCCUAUUGUUAGUUGCCAUCAUUCAGUUGGGCACUCUAGCGAGACUGCCGGUAAUAAACCGGAGGAAGGUGGGGAUGACGUCAAAUCAUCAUGCCCCUUAUGACCUGGGCUACACACGUGCUACAAUGGUUGGUACAACGAGUUGCGAGUCGGUGACGGCGAGCUAAUCUCUUAAAGCCAAUCUCAGUUCGGAUUGUAGGCUGCAACUCGCCUACAUGAAGUCGGAAUCGCUAGUAAUCGCGGAUCAGCACGCCGCGGUGAAUACGUUCCCGGGCCUUGUACACACCGCCCGUCACACCACGAGAGUUUGUAACACCCGAAGUCGGUGAGGUAAC
rnacentral:rRNA from 1 species